rnacentral:rRNA from 1 species
CUAAUCAUUUAUAUCACCUGCAGCCCAAGACUGGUUACUCACUGAAGCUAAGCAGGUCUGAGCCUGGUCAGUACCUGGAUGGGAGACCACAUGGGAACACUAGGUUGCUGUUGGAA